GCUAAUGCAAGUUACAUCCCUUCAGAAGCAAGAUCUCAUGUAUCCAAACUCCAAACACACUUCUUCAGAGCUUUCAUUUUGCCCUUUAAUGGCUGUGAUGCUCUACAAGUCUCAACUUCUCCUGCAAGACUUUGUUUGGCCUGCUUGCAUGAGGGAAGCAGUACCUCUCUCCCAGCAGGCAGUACCCCAAGAAUGCAGAAAGAAGAGGAAUCAGAGAUCCAUGGCCAGGGCAGAUGUCAAGUAGCCUCAGGGGCCCGCUUCUUAACCCCAAGCUGAGGGUUUGUGGACACCGAUGGGAAGCCAACAGCGUGUAAUGGAGCGGCUCUCUGGGAAAACAGAGCUGUG